CCGUCGUCACAGGGUUCGCCUCGGUUGAGGGGAGAAAAGGUGAUGUGGCAUUGCUGAAACCAGAGUGGACCCCCGCUCCUCCUCCCUAUUCCCCGACUCACUGCAACUCCUCAGCCGUUGCCAAAGGCUACCCGGGUCACACUCUUAAAUAGAAAAGGCAGAGGCUUCAUCAUCAACUCCUGUAAUACCUCCACAGGGCUCAUGAGAGCAGCGAUCACAGUCCAUCGGCCAGUGUGAGACGGGGAGUUAUGCAUACUCCAAAUGGAUUGCCUAAAGCCCACAAACGAGAAUAAGCAUGCUUAGAGUUGCACCAGAGAUUGAGAUCUCAGCAAUAACAACUGCUUCUGUCCACUAGUCACUGCUCACCUUGACCACUUCGCCUUGGCUGCUGCUAGAUGGCUUUACUUCCUAAAAAUAAAGAACAAUGCAGUAACACAGAGUCACCAUUUACACUCCCCCUGCACAGACAAACAGGGACUGACCUGCUCAGGGGAACCUACUCACCUGGGAUGGGGUGCUCUGCCAUGGAUUUUAUCCACCUGCAUCUGAAAGAACGUCAGGACAAAUGUCAAAGGGCUGCAGGAUAACUUCACAGCUCCAGACACCUUGGGUCAACCUAGGAAUACCAUCUAGAGUCCAACUACACCCCACACUACAAAUUUCAAGCCCCCAGGAUUUGUCCUAUCACACCAGACUAUGCAGCAGGGCAGAGCAGCUCCGGCACAAAUAUGUGCAGACACCCGUGACACAGGACAGGACAUGACAAACAAAGGGGACACAACAGGGACAGAAAUCUCAGGGCAAGAAGGACUGCAAGGACCGAGAGAUUGCAAAAUGAGAGGACUGAGGUGAGACCGAUGGUGCGCUGACGAUGCUCAGAGAGCCCUGGAGUAAGAAGAUGCUAACUGAAUGAUUUAUUGCAAGAACUGCAAAGAUGGAUGCCCGAGAAUCCUACUGUCAGAAUCCUCUACCUAUCCUUGCUUUCUUACAAGUCUGAAUCCGCAAUAAUGGAUCCUUGCAGGCUGCAGCUGUCCCUUCAGCUCAGAACAAGACCUUCAAAGACAUCUGACCGGAAGCUCCUAAAGAGAGAUGCGCUUCUCAUGCCUAUCAGAGAGCCUGAGACAAAAGUCCUAUGGCAUUGGUGCCAGGCCAAGAAAUGCAGAGAUCACAGAUGCCAAGAAUGAUGCCAGGGUUUCUGACAGGCCACUCAAAGGGCUAAGGUAAAAGACAUGAGACAUACAAACAACACAUAAUGCACAAUAGACAAGUGACACAAUACACAGCGGGACUGCUCUGCCCUCCUGACCACAGCACUGGGAUCAAAAGUGACACUUUGCUUUUGUGUGGCCGUAAGAUGACUUUUCCUGGAUAGCCUCAUCUCCAAGCCUGACUCAAAAAUCCCUCCCAGGGAGUCCUGAUGCAGCAGCCCCCUUCCAUCCCCUCUGUGAGUCAUAGCCCUCAACUUAUCUCUUGCAUGUCCAGGAAUGAGAAUCCACAUCAGGUGCAAAGGAAGGCCACCAGGCUGUCUGGGAGGUUCCUGCUGUCACCGGGCUGUCAUCUCCUAGUAUGUCAGGAUAAAGAAAACCAGACAUCAGUGCAUCAUCUUAGCAGUACAUCGACCAAAACCCAACAAGUCUGCUACUCACCGCCUCCUAAGAGUGACCGGCUCCUCGGGCCACACGCUUCAGCUGUGCUCCGAGACUGACGCUGUCGUCUCAGAGGAGACGAGGUGAUGUAGCACAGCUGAGAACUGAGCGGACCCCGGCUCCUCCUCGAUACCUCCCCGACUCACCACAACUCCUUGGUCAUUCCUGAGGGCUACUCAGAAGCAACCUUUAAAUAGAAAAUUUCAAGGCUUCAUCACAGGGUCCUGCAAUACCUCCACAGGGCUCACAAGAGCAGCAAACCUGGUCCAUCGGCCGGUUGAUGACAGGGGCUUGGCAUAACCUGAGCAGAUUGCCUAAGGCACACAAACAAGAACAGAGACAGAGUUGCACCGGAACUUGAGACCCCAGCAAUAACAGCUGCUUCUGCCCACUGCUCACCUUGCCCACUUGAACUUGACUGUUGCUAUAUGCCUUUACUUCCUAAAAUAAAGAAAAAGAAAAAUGCUGUAACACAGAGUCACCAUUUACACUCCCCCUGCACAGACAAACAGGGACUGACCUGCUCAGGGGAACCUACUCACCUGGGAUGGGGUGCUCUGCUAUGGAUUUUAUCCAUCUGCAUCUGAAAGAAAGUCAGGACAAAAGUCAAAGGGCUGCAGGACAACUUCACAGCUCUAGACAUCUUGGGUCAACCUAGGAAUACCAUCUAGAGUCCAACUACACCCCACACUACAAAUUUCAAGCCCCCAGGAUUUGUCCUAUCACACCAGACUAUGCAGCAGGGCAGAGCAGCUCCAACACAAAUAUGUGCAGACACCCGUGACACAGGACAGGACAAACAAUGGGGACACAACAGGAACAGAAAUCUCAGGGCAAGAGGAAUGACUGCAAGGACCGAGAGAAUGCAAAAUGAAAUGACUGAGGUGAGACCGAUGGUGAGCCGCUGAGGCUCAGAGAACCCUGGAGGAAGAAGAUGCUAACGGAUUUAUUUCUUCCAAGAACUGCAAAGAUGGAUGCCUGUAAAUCCUGUGGUCAGCAUCCUCUACCUAUGCGCAUAUUCAAGAAGACAUCACAGAUGCUAAGAAUGAUGCCAGUUUUCUGAACGACUCCUCAAAGGGCUACAGUGAAAGACAUGAGACACGCAAACACAUACAAUCUUAUGAACUCCAGGACAUUACAGCCCAUGGCUAGAAAAGAUGGAUGGUGAUAUGGCUGGGAGCAAGGCCUCAGAACAUGUCCUACUCGACGCUUCUGCGAUGUGACUCGGAAACACGGCCGAGCCCGCCAGUAAAAGAACAAAUGAUAUCGGCAUCAUGCAGAGAAGUGCGAGCGUUCAAGAACCUACGGCUGAUGCUUGUGGUAAGGGCCUCGAGGGGAAAGAGGCAGAGAUAUCUGAUCCGAGGGACCCCAAAGACACACUAGGUAACACAGUAUACACCGGACAACACAACACAGACUGGAACUGUUCUGCACUGCGCACCCUACAGCUGUUAGCAAAGGCGGUGGCCCCCAACUUAUCUUUUGGAUGACCGGUGAUGUGAGUCCAUGCUGGACCUGAAAUGAGUAUGCCUCAGAGCACCUCUGCCACAAUUGCCUGUUAACCUCUCAGUCAGCUGCAAUAAAGUAAACCAAAAACAACA